rnacentral:piRNA from 1 species
ACAUGCCGCAGUUUUGACUGCUUUAUAGGG